AGAGUUUGAUCAUGGCUCAGGAUGAACGCUGGCGGCGUGCCUAACACAUGCAAGUCGAACGGACAUGAGAGCUGAGGUUUUCGGACGGAAGCGAUUAUGUUAGUGGCGGACGGGUGAGUAACGCGUGGAUAACCUGCCCCAUACCGGGGGAUAACAGCCGGAAACGGCUGCUAAUACCGCAUAAGCGCACACAACCGCAUGGGAGAGUGUGAAAAACUCCGGUGGUAUGGGAUGGAUCCGCGUCUGAUUAGCCAGUUGGCGGGGUAACGGCCCACCAAAGCAACGAUCAGUAGCCGGCCUGAGAGGGUGAACGGCCACAUUGGGACUGAGACACGGCCCAAACUCCUACGGGAGGCAGCAGUGGGGGAUAUUGCACAAUGGGGGAAACCCUGAUGCAGCGACGCCGCGUGAGUGAAGAAGUAUUUCGGUAUGUAAAGCUCUAUCAGCAGGGAAGAAAGAGGACGGUACCUGAGUAAGAAGCCCCGGCUAACUACGUGCCAGCAGCCGCGGUAAUACGUAGGGGGCAAGCGUUAUCCGGAUUUACUGGGUGUAAAGGGAGCGUAGACGGCAUAGCAAGCGCGGAGUGAAAGCCCGGGGCCCAACCCCGGGACUGCUCUGUGAACUGUUGAGCUGGAGUGCAGGAGGGGUAGGCGGAAUUCCUGGUGUAGCGGUGAAAUGCGUAGAGAUCAGGAGGAACACCGGCGGCGAAUGCGGCCUACUGGACUGUAACUGACGUUGAGGCUCGAAGCGUGGGGAGCAAACAGGAUUAGAUACCCUGGUAGUCCACGCGGUAAACGAUG
rnacentral:rRNA from 1 species